rnacentral:misc_RNA from 1 species
CAACUUCCACCUGGCUUACCUCCNUCAGUUMUGCGUCAUGACUUGUAUCGUCUUGAGCGUAUUGUGGGUUUCCUGUGUUGCAUACCUAAUAAUGGAAUCGUUUUGGUUGAUUGAAGUCCCUUUUCAUCACGYGUUGCCUUUGCGAUGCAUGAUGAACCUCGAAGCGGUCUCUAUGUUCCACCACGUUGAUGCUAGUGUCUUGAUGAUGUGGCCCAUUGAGUGUUGCUUGGUUUUGUGGAUACAGAACAUGAUUUGGGCAUAGGGUCACCUGUGACUCUUGUUUUGUCCUUUAUCAGUGUUCUCUAUAACGACGGUUCAUGCGCGCCUAGGCUCGUACCUGCGCGAUGUUCUUUGUCGAAGAGGAAUGCUACCUGGUUGAUCCUGCCAGUAGUCAUAUGCUUGUCUCAAAGAUUAAGCCAUGCAUGUGUAAGU